CAGACCAUUGGGUUGAUAGGCCGGAACUGGAAGCCAGGUAACUGGUGCAGGUGACCGGUACUAAUAGGCCGAGGACUUACCAAC
rnacentral:rRNA from 1 species